GCCCCUGUAGCGCAAUGGCUUGUACGUUGGAUUUCUAAUCCAAAGUUCAUGGUUUCGAAUUCUAUCGGGGAUA